UGAGGAAUAUUGGUCAAUGGCCGUAAGGCUGAACCAGCCAAGUAGCGUGCAGGAUGACGGCCCUAUGGGUUGUAAACUGCUUUUAAACGGGGAUAAAGUGAGCCACGUGUGGUUUAUUGCAGGUACCGUUUGAAUAAGGAACGGCUAAUUCCGUGCCAGCAGCCGCGGUAAUACGGAAGGUACGGGCGUUAUCCGGAUUUAUUGGGUUUAAAGGGAGCGUAGGCGGAGCGUCAAGCCAGCAGUGAAAUGUAGCGGCCCAACCACUGCACUGCUGUUGGAACUGGUGACCUUGAGUGCACACGAGGCAUGCGGAAUUUGUGGUGUAGCGGUGAAAUGCUUAGAUAUCACGAAGAACUCCGAUGGCGAAGGCAGCGUGCCGGAGUGCAACUGACGCUGAAGCUCGAAAGUGCGGGUAUCGAACA
rnacentral:rRNA from 1 species